AAUAAAGAAAGCUAUUUCCUGAGGCCCUCAGAGGGGCCAGAAGAAGUUCCUUUGCAGAUCUCCUGAAAGACACAGGAGCUGGAGACACCAGGGAGCUCUUCAGGCAAAGGCAGAUGGGGGAAGAAGAUCAGGAAGAAGACUGGAAGUCCAAAUGAAGAGCCAGCACCCCAGCCAAAGAUUAGAGUGAAAUGAUACCAUAUCUCCUUUGGGGGAGAAAGACGGAAGCUUUCUUUCAGUCAAGUGCUCUGGAGAAUGCUCUUUGGAAGAAAGGUGCUUUGGCCUGGUUCCCUCAGGCUUCCUGGCAACCAAGAAAAUCUAAAGCCUGGGUGGACCAGAGUUUAAAAACAGCUUUCCAGGAGAUUUGAAAUUAAAUUUAGAAGAAAAGGAAAUUAUAUAUGAAAAUCAAUUCCAUUUGCCUCCUGCACAAGGCCAGCGACCGAGGCGCCGUCGUUGCCCAGCAGAGAGGAGGUGGCUAUAGCACUGGCCCCAGAUCGGGUGGCUCUUCUGUAAGUACUGGUAGGCAGGUGCGAUUUCCCUCCUGCUUCCUGGAACACAGGGAGCUGGAGGGGAAAGGAAGCGGAGGACUCUGGGUAAGCAUGUGGGUAGGGGUGUGCAUCCAUUUUUAAAUUCAUCAACAUAUUUAUUGCUGCAUGCCAGGGACUCUUUCUGGCAUUGGCAACAUAGGGAUGAGUGAAAAGACAGAGGUACAAUUUCCAAGGAACUCCCUUCCUUCUGUGUGCACGUGUGUGUGUGUGUGUGUGUCUGUGUGUGUGAUUACAAAUAAAUAUCUGACAUAAAAAUGAGGCUGUGGCCAAAACUCAUGUCGAGAAGGGGCUCAGAGAGUUAUGGAAAUUGCAUUUUUAUUUUUUACAAAAAUUAUAUUUGUUCACGCUCCCAGUGUGUAAUGAUCACGUUCAUCCUGGGGUGUUGGCAUAGUGGGGCGGGAGGAGACAGGAAGCUACAUAAACAGAAUGGGACUGUGCUCUGUACAAGGAAGUCACGCACUCAGGUACUGAGCAGACCCGGCCUCUCCGAGUGUGGCCUUGUGUGGAGAAUUGAAGGAAGCGGGAGAGGAAGCCACAGAAAGAGAAAAGGAAACAGCACCAAUGCAGGAGUGAAAUUCUGCGGAAUGCUGUUCCUUCUGUCUUUAGGCCAGGGCUGCAGAGGACAGAGCCCUCUCCUGACCGCAGCGGAGACACUGUGGCUCUGCACGGUCAGGUAGCUCGUAUCUGGGGGGAGCCAGGGCCGGGUGCCGCUGCCGGGUUCCGAGGCAGUGCUGCUAACUGGGCCGUCUGUGUGCCACAGCCAGGCGGCUGUCAGAUCUCUGCAGGGGAUCGGGGAAUGGGCAUGCAGUGAGCGAGGGCAGCCAGGAGAGGGCUCCGCCCGCCGGUGCUGGCACCAUCAGCCCCUUCCUGCUGCCCCCAGACUCUGCCUGCCCACCGCUGCCUGGUACCGGGACAGGUGGGGAUGUUCUGAAACUGCUGCCUGGAUCUCUCAGCUCCUUUCACCUUGGGGCCAGGUGGAGAGAACUGAAGCAGGGAGAUGUCCACCUCCCUCCCCAAGCUGUCAUGCAGCCACACAAGCAAAUAGCUGCAGAGGCCCAGCCUUCAUUGCCCUGCCCGAGCCCAAGAUCCUUUGUUAGGGAGGCCUUAGGUGAGGGAGCCCCAUCUUUUGAGGACACCAUCUUGGGCCAAGUCCCCAGGCAGCCUUUCCUCUAUUUAGUGGCUAUCCUGCAGACCCUCUUCUCUCCCCUCUGUCACCUGUGCCCUGGAUGGCGGUGCUUGAUGAGGCAGUUCUCUGAUGCUGCUAGUAGGCAUGGAGGUGUGCAGGGGAUGAUUCCUGAGCAGCAGAGAAAUGAACCCCACAGCCAGAACCCGGAGCCAGGGUUUCGAGGCAUCAUCUAGUAGAGUGGAACAGAGAGACGGGGUGUGGUGUGAGGGGACAGCUCAGCUUUAGCGUCACAUACCUCGGGGUUUGAACUCCACCUGCUGCAUACAAGUUCUAUUUUGUGCAAGUUACUUGCUGUCUCUGAGCCUCGGUUUUCCCAGUUGCAUGAAAACCAGGACAGGCAACGCCUCUAUCAAGGAUGGGCCACCGGAUCACAGUGCUGUGGAGCCGCUAUCUGCUGGGCUUUCCUGGGCUGGAGACAGACUCAUUCUCCCUCACACAUGGCCUGGGAGGUGGGAGUAGGUGAAGAGUAGGAUGGGAAGCUGGGCGUGGUGGCACACACCCAUCUUCCCAACACUGGGAGCUCAGGAAGGAGGGUCACGAACUUGCGACACCCUGUCCCCAAAUGAAAAAUAAAAAAGGACCGGGAAUGUAGGUCAGUGUAAAGACUCUGAGUGUCGUGUCCUGUAUUGCAACAAGCAAAACCAACCAAAAUCAAAGAAACAAGAGUAGGAUUUGAUCCUCUGAGGAGAGACACAGCGCUUUCUGGAACUCUUGUUCAGAAAAUGUUCCUCAUUAAGUUGUGUCUGGUGAUGUACCUGAUUCCAGCUGAAGUUCACCUUCUUAUGUUAGGGCAGGUUUCUUUCAGUUCACUUCUGUUAGGUGGGGUGCUUGGGGCUUGAAGGCAUCAGGGAGUCUCACCCUGAACGUGGCCAUAACCACCAUGUUGGCCCCGCACCCACUGAUGCUGGGUCUCUGUGGUGAACAUUUGUAUGAGGAUCUGCUGGGCACGAAAGUAAAUUAAUACAUUCAAAUGCUACAGAUCUCAAAAUUUUCCAAGAGUUAGGAAACGGGGUGGUUCUCUUUUUAAUGAAUGAAAGUGAAAUAAUGUACGGUCAUAGGUGGCACGGUUCAUUGUGGGCAUGGUGGGCACAUGUAUGAUGGAAGCUACCCGAGAUUGUAUCAUUUAGUGACAAUAAAGUGCACUCUGAUGUGCAUGGCUGAAUGUUAAUAAAUGAAGUAAUGUGAAAUGCAUUCGGUUAUUUUAUUCCCUUGAACUUUUUGAGUGGUUUUCUCCAUGUGUCAGUCCAGUCCGUUUGAUGUGGUGCAGAUCUAAAGCGUCGCCGGAUCUCAUGGCGUGAGGGCCACAGGAUCACAGGGGCGCUGUUCUCAUCACUGGAUUCAUCCAUCCGUGAGUUCACAGCGGACGCGCCCUCGGGAGGUGGGGCCUGGCUGGAAAUGGCAGCCGGUGAGCUGGAAGGGCGCGUUCUUGUCCCUGCUCCUCCUUCUCCCUCUGCUUCCUGGCCGCCAUGAGGUGAUCAGCUUUUCUCCGCCCUGCACUUCCACUGUGCCGUUCCUGCCUUGGAGCUGCCAACCAUGGAUUGAAACCGGGAGGCAAAAUAAACCUCUCCUCAUUGACGUUGUGGGUGUUGGGUAUUUGCCCCAGCCAGCAACAGGAAAUGUUUCAAUCCAAUCCGUUCGACAGCUUGAGUUUAUCCCUGGAGUCUUAAAGGACACAGUUGAGGGGCAGACAGUGGAGGAGAGGCUGGUGGAGACUCAAGCUCUUUCUUAGAAUCAUUUAGUUUAAUUUUAGGUUCUCAGUAUGGACUUUAAGGCAGGGUCUCUUUGGCCUUUGUUAAUUAGACGCCAGGGUUGGGGAAACAAUAAUGACACAUGCCCACUGCGUCCAACCUUCACCCUCCCUGGGUGUCACUCAGCCCCCAGGCCCCACCUCGCUGUGGAGAAGAGGCAACAGAUGACUUGGGGACAGCUGAGCUGCUGGGUGGUGGCAGAAGCACGGUAUGGAUCCAUCAAACAGGGGCCUCCAGUUUAACACAAGACAAUCACGUCUGUUUUCCCCACAGUCCAGAGUGGGGCAGGGUUCAGCAACUCUCAGCCCAGGCUCCAAAUCCAGCUUGCAAAGCUCAUGAAUUAGAAAUGUUUUGUUUUUUGUUUUUUUACAUUUUUAAAGCAUUACACACACACACACACACACACACACACACAGACACACACACACACGAAAUCCCAUGAAGAAGAAAAUGUGGCAGAAACUGUGUUUCAGAGUUCACACUAUCUGCAGCCUGGCUGUCUGCAGAAACAGUCUGCUCCAGGAAGACAUUAGCUGUCCCCCUCAGGGAGUCCAGGCUCUUCCCAUCUUUUGGCUCUAGGAUAGGGGAAGAGACAGUGGGGAGGGACACUGCUCUGAGACACAUCACCGGUGGGUGCCGGCAGGUGAGGAUGUGGUCCCCGGCCCGGAGGCUGCUCCUGGCAAUGACUGUGUGGAGGAAGCCACGCAUGCAUCUUUGCUUUUCUCUCUGCCUGAAAUACCCCACUUCUUUACUCUUUCUCAUAUUCUGAGUAACGAAGCAGAUUCUUUCUGUGUAGCUAAUCUGCCCAAUACCAACCCCACAGUCUCUGGCAUCCUCUCUUCAGGCCUGAGUGUCUUCAGCAAUCCUGCACUGCACAGACCUUGCGUUGGGUGCCCAGGGCACCUGCUCUGCCUGGAUGCUCCCCCCCCCCCGCCCCCGUGCUUCCUGGUGCAGAGCAGGCAUUCUGUGCAUGUUUUGGCCUGAUUUGCAUACAGAUUUAUAGGAACAAGGGAAGGAGGAGAAGGCUUCUGAAUGAAGACAGGACUAGCAAACUUGAGCCACAGCUGGAAGGACAGGGAAGACUGAGAAAGAACACUAGCAGUUCAUCUCUAAGACGGCCAAGUGAGUAUCCUGCAGAUCUGGGGCAUGACAUCAGAUCCGUGUGAGUCUGAAUCGCAUGCUCUUCAUGACCAUGAGAAACAAUGAACACCGCAGAGAACUUCACUGUGAAACCCAUCUCCAACAGAGAGAGUUAAGGCAGAUUUCCACAGCACCUGUGUGCCCGGGCAUCUCCACCAGGAAGGGGAUCUGGGGCUGGGAAGUGCCAUUCUGAGAUGGCCACAUUGGAAGCCAGAUUGCAAAGGGGGAUGCUUGGGAAUUGUAUUCUGAGGUCUCACGGGGCCAACACAAGGAUGAAGCAUGUGGGGCUGUGGUGAAGUAGGCAGCCAGGAAGCUGGUAUCAAGAGACUGCCACUGGCAAGGCUGCUGCGGCAUGGACUUGGCUGGUGAAGAUGCACACAGGAAUCUGAAGACCUUGACCUCGCUUUGUUUCCGCUUUUGUAUCUCCACGCUUCCAUUGCCAGGAAACCACGGAAUGGUGAAGCCAGAGGAGCUUGCCUCAUGAUUUGUAUUGGAAAGGGCAAGGGCUUUAGACCCUGGUGAACCUGGAUGCAGAUUCUGGCUCAGGAAUUUGUGACUGCAGGCAAA
ensembl:lncRNA